CCUACGGGAGGCAGCAGUGAGGAAUAUUGGUCAAUGGCCGGAAGGCUGAACCAGCCAUGCCGCGUGAAGGUCAGUGCCCUAUGGGCGUUAAACUUCUUUUGUGCGGGAGCAAUAAUGGUCACGUGUGGCCAGACGAGAGUACCGUACGAAUAAGCAUCGGCUAACUCCGUGCCAGCAGCCGCGGUAAUACGGGGGAUGCAAGCGUUAUCCGGAUUUAUUGGGUUUAAAGGGUGCGUAGGCUGUGAGGUAAGUCAGCGGGGAAAUGCCCCCGCUCAACGGGGUGAAGUGCCAUUGAUACUGCCUUGCUGGAAUGCGGAUGCCGUGGGAGGAAUGUGUGGUGUAGCGGUGAAAUGCAUAGAUAUCACACAGAACACCGAUUGCGAAGGCAUCUCACGAAUCCGCGGUUGACGCUGGUGCACGAAAGCGUGGGUAUCAAACAGGAUUAGAUACCCGAGUAGUC
rnacentral:rRNA from 1 species